UAAACAUAGACAGUCCACAUACCCCACUGUCCGCCCGGGUACUACGAGCAUCAGCUUAAAACCCAAAGGACUUGGCGGUGCUUUAAACCCACCUAGAGGAGCCUGUUCUAGAACCGAUAAUCCCCGUUCAACCUCACCCUUCCUUGUUCUUCCCGCCUAUAUACCACCGUCGUCAGUUUACCCUGUGAAGGUCAAACAGUAAGCACAAUCGGCAUAGCCCAAAACGUCAGGUCGAGGUGUAGCGUAUGGAAGGGGAAGAAAUGGGCUACAUUCCCUGGUACCAGGGCAUACGGAUUAUAUGCUGAAACGCAUAUCUGAAGGAGGAUUUAGCAGUAAGCAGGAAGUAGAGUGUCCUGCUGAAACCGGC
rnacentral:rRNA from 1 species